AUUCCAUUCCGAACUCAGAAGUGAAACGAAAUAGCGCCGAUGGUAGUGUGGGGUUUCCCCAUGUGAGAGUAGGACAUCGCCAGGCU
rnacentral:rRNA from 1 species